CAAAGAUCUGCAGAAGAAAUAGAAUAGUUGGACAACUUUAUGCAAUAUAUGCUAUGUAGAUGAAAUAUUAUGGCGUUGUGUUGUAAAACAAAUCAAAACUAAAUUUAACAGACCCAAAUAGUGCGGAUAAAGUUAGGGUAUAUAAUGGCAUAGGAUGACUAAGGUGCCUCCAAGUAUAUGGGAAAGGAGCUACUAAGUGGCUCUAGUAAUAGGCGGUGAUGUCUAGGUCAUCAGCAUUAACAAGCAUCAAAGGCGAGAAAGGU